rnacentral:rRNA from 1 species
ACUAAGCCAUGCAAGUCUAAGUAUGAGUGAAUUGUACAACGAAACUGCGAAUGGCUCGGUAAAACAGCUAUAGUUUCUUCGAUGUUAACUACUACUCGGCAUAACCGUAGUAAUUCUAGAGCUAAUACGUGCCAUAAGACGAGGCUUGCCUCGUGGUACUAUUUGGAGAUACAAACCAAUGUUUGGUGAUUCACACUUAUUUUUCUGAUUGCACUUUUGUGCGACGCAUCGUUCAAAUUUCUGACCUAUCAACUUUGGAUGGUAAGGUAUUGUCUUACCAUGGUUUUGACGGGUAACGGACCGUGGGUGCGGGACUCCGGAGAGGGAGCCUGAGAAACGGCUACCACAUCCAAGGAAGGCAGCAGGCGCGCAAAUUACCCAAUCCGGACACCGGGAGGUAGUGACAAGAAAUAGCAAUAGAGGGCCCAAUGGGUUUUCUAAUUGGAAUGAGAACACGGUAAACAUCUUAUCGAGGAGCCAGCAGAGGGCAAGUCUGGUGCCAGCAGCCGCGGUAAUUCCAGCUCUGUAAGCGUAUACCAAAGUUGUUGCAGUUAAAACGCUCGUAGUCGGACGUUGGCGGGCGCGGCAAGACGACCUCACGGUCGUUCUUGCAGCGGCCGCCUUUGUGGAGGGGGGUCUGGUGGUGCUUCACUGCCUCGCCAGAUCGCUGCCACCGUUUACUGUGAAAAAAUUAGAGUGUUCAAAGCGGGCGUUUGCCAUGAAUACAUUAGCAUGGAAUAAUAGAAUAGGACCUGGUCCUGUUUUGUUGGUUUGUGAGUAUCAGGUAAUGAUUAAGAGGGACGGUUGGGGGCAUUUGUAUUCCGGCGCUAGAGGUGAAAUUCUUGGAUUGCCGGUUGGUGGUGCAUGGCCGUUCUUAGUUGGUGGAGUGAUCUGUCUGGUUAAUUCCGUUAACGAGCGAGACUUGGGCGUGCUAGCUAGGCGCUAUUACCAUUUCCGGUAGCAAGGCAGCCUUCCUAGACGGACUGCGGGCGUCUAGUCCGCGGAAGCUCCAGGCAAUAACAGGUCUGAGAUGCCCUUAGAUGUUCUGGGCCGCACGCGUGCUACACUGAGCGGGUCAACGGGUGAGGAUGUGCGAAAGCAUUUCCCAAUCUCUAAAUCCGCUCGUGAUGGGGAUAGAGGCUUGCAAUUUUCCCUCUUGAACGAGGAAUACCUUGUAAGCGCGGGUCAUCAUCCCGCGCUGAAUACGUCCCUGCCCUUUGUACACACCGCCCGUCGCUCCUACCGAUUGAGUGGUCCGGUGAGGCCUUGGGAGGGCUAGACGGACUGUGUUCCACAGACCAUCUUGGCCCAAACUUGGUCAAACCUUAUC